rnacentral:tRNA from 1 species
GAGGGUGUAGCUCAGUGGUAGAGUGCAUGCCUAGCAUGCAUGAGGUCCUGGGUUCAAUCCACAGUACCUCCA